rnacentral:rRNA from 1 species
AGUGAACGCUGGCGGUAGGCCUAACACAUGCAAGUCGAACGGCAGCACAGUAAGAGCUUGCUCUUACGGGUGGCGAGUGGCGGACGGGUGAGGAAUACAUCGGAAUCUACUUUUUCGUGGGGGAUAACGUAGGGAAACUUACGCUAAUACCGCAUACGACCUACGGGUGAAAGCAGGGGAUCUUCGGACCUUGCGCGAUUGAAUGAGCCGAUGUCGGAUUAGCUAGUUGGCGGGGUAAAGGCCCACCAAGGCGACGAUCCGUAGCUGGUCUGAGAGGAUGAUCGGCCACAUGGGAAUUGAGAACCGGUCCAGACGCCAACGGAGGGCAGCAGUGGGGACUAUUGGACAAUGGGCGCAAGCCUGUUCCAGCCAAACCGCGUGGGUGAAGAGGCCUUCGGGUUGUAAAGCCCUUUUGUUGGGAAAGAAAAGCAGCAGGUUAAUACCCCGCUGUUCUGACGGUACCCAAAGAAUAAGCACCGGCUAACUUCGUG